AGAUCACUUGAACCCAGGAGUUGGAGGUUGCAGUGAGCUGAGAUCACACCACUGCACUCCAGCCUGGGUGACAGAG
rnacentral:snRNA from 1 species